rnacentral:rRNA from 1 species
GACGGAGGAUGCAAGCGUUAUCCGGAUUGAUUGGGCGUAAAGCGUCCGCAGGUGGCAGUUCAAGUCUGCUGUCAAAGACCGGGGCUUAACUUCGGAAAGGCAGUGGAAACUGAACAGCUAGAGUAUGGUAGGGGCAGAGGGAAUUCCUGGUGUAGCGGUGAAAUGCGUAGAUAUCAAGAGGAACACCUGAGGCGAAGGCGGGCUACUGGGCUGAUACUGACGCUGAGGCGCGAAAGCUAGGGGAGCAAACGGG